rnacentral:rRNA from 1 species
UGACCUCAAAUCAGGUAGGACUACCCGCUGAACUUAAGCAUAUCAAUAAGCGGAGGAAAAGAAACUAACAAGGAUUCCCCUAGUAACUGCGAGUGAAGCGGGAAAAGCUCAAAUUUAAAAUCUGGCGGCUUUGUCGUCCGAGUUGUAAUCUGGAGAAGCGUUUUCCGUGUCGGACCGUGCACAAGUCUCUUGGAACAGAGCGUCAUAGAGGGUGAGAAUCCCGUCUUUGGCACGGACAGCCGAUACUUUGUGAUACGUUUUCAAAGAGUCGAGUUGGUUGGGAAUGCAGCUCAAAAUGGGUGGUAAAUUCCAUCUAAAGCUAAAUAUAGGCGAGAGACCGAUAGCGAACAAGUACCGUGAGGGAA